rnacentral:rRNA from 1 species
AGGUUACUGCUAUCGGUGUUCGCCUAAGCCAUGCGAGUCAUAUGUUCUUCGUGAACAUGGCGUACUGCUCAGUAACACGUGGAUAACCUGCCCUUGGGUCCGGCAUAACCCCGGGAAACUGGGAAUAAUUCCGGAUAACGCACAUAUGCUGGAAUGCUUUAUGCGUCAAAUGGAUUCGUCCGCCCAAGGAUGGGUCUGCGGCCUAUCAGGUAGUAGUGGGUGUAAUGUACCUACUAGCCUACGACGGGUACGGGUUGUGAGAGCAAGAGCCCGGAGAUGGAUUCUGAGACAUGAAUCCAGGCCCUACGGGGCGCAGCAGGCGCGAAAACUUUACAAUGCGGGAAACCGUGAUAAGGGGACACCGAGUGCCAGCAUCAUAUGCUGGCUGUCCGGGUGUGUAAAAUACACCUGUUAGCAAGGGCCGGGCAAGACCGGUGCCAGCCGCCGCGGUAACACCGGCGGCCCGAGUGGUGAUCGUGAUUAUUGGGUCUAAAGGGUCCGUAGCCGGUUUGGUCAGUCCUCCGGGAAAUCUGACGGCUUAACCGUUAGGCUUUCGGGGGAUACUGCCAGACUUGGAACCGGGAGAGGUGAGAGGUACUACAGGGGUAGGAGUGAAAUCUUGUAAUCCCUGUGGGACCACCUGUGGCGAAGGCGUCUUACCAGAACGGGUUCGACGGUGAGGGACGAAAGCUGGGGGCACGAACCGGAUUAGAUACCCGGGUAGUCCCAGCCGUAAACGAUGCUCGCUAGGUGUCAGGCAUGGCGCGACCGUGUCUGGUGCCGCAGGGAAGCCGUGAAGCGAGCCACCUGGGAAGUACGGCCGCAAGGCUGAAACUUAA